AUUCCAUGAUGGGGACAUUCUAGGAUGUAGUCUUGGAAGCGCUCCCAUGUAUCUGGAACGGAUUCAUCAUGUUGUUGCUGAAAACUUGUAAUCUUCCCACGGAGAGC
rnacentral:snoRNA from 1 species